rnacentral:miRNA from 1 species
UGAGGCAGGAGAAUCGCUUGAACCCAGGAAGUGGAGGCUGCAGUGAGCCGAGAUGGAGCCACUGCACUCCAGCCUGGGUGACAGAGUGAGACUCCAGUCUC